CAUUUAGGAAUCCUGUAAAAAAAGCAGAAAAAAGUAGUUUUGGACAUGUUCCAUCUCUCUAUGAAAAGGUUGAUUUAUCACUUUGGAGUGCCUUAAUGUCAUAUUAGACCAUGGAACGAUCCUGGCAGUGGUAUUUCUGUCCCUGCCUCCGCACUGGUCUCACUGCUCUGAGAAGUGUGGGAGGGCAUACGCAUCUUUGGAGGCGUGCGUGCUAGUACAUGGCAGUUUCUCCUGCUACUUCUUCCUGCUUGAACUUUUCUUUUGCUUCAAUAUAGGCUCUCUAUGGACCGUAAGUCCUUCAGAGAUAUGCAGCCUCUCCAAUACAAGUGUUUCCCAGGUCACAGUAGAUACCUACUCCACCAUGAGGAACCUUCUUCUCUGACCUUGAUAUUUCAUUUUUGUUUGUCAGCCUUUUUGUACCCUCAUCACUCUGUGCAGGGUUUUCUACCCUUUCUUAAGGAAAUUUUACUAAAGGCCUCAGAUGGCUCCUGCAGUGGGUUUAUUGUGGAGCUGGCUUAAACAAUGUCUGGCACAGGGCACAUACUGACCUCUUCCCACAGAGGCCACCCUGCGGCUUUAUUCUGUCUUCUACUCCACACUACCAAACCCUUGCCACCUAUGACCAAUAGAUGAAUUUUAAGCAUUCAAAAUGUAGCCUAAAUACUUAAGGUGCAAUACUUAUGUAGCCUAAAUACUUAAGGUACACUAAUUUUAUUUCAACUGUUUACUUUUUUGGGGGACAUUUUUCACAUCAGAAAAUGUAGCCUUGGAUGAAAACUGGGACAUUCAUUUCAGUAAUUUGUGAAACCUAUUCUUUUUGGCCCUGAUCUACAGAUUUUAGGGCCAAAAGGGAACUAAAGUCAUCUGAUCUAAGGUCCUAUAUAAUGCACACUGUGAAGUUUCAGCCAUGUGCACUGCAAAUGAUCUUUGACUGAAACAUAUGCAUUAGCUUUGAUUAGAAGCUGUGAAAAAAUCCUAUUGAAACUGACAGUCAUAGCCACAAUUCAGUCUGAGGUGAAUGUAAGGAAUAGCACACUUCAGUCUGAGGUGAAUGUAAGGAAUAGCACACUUCAGUCUGAGGUGAAUGUACGAAACAACCAAGCUCCUUUACAUAUUCCUGGUUCCCAGGCAUAUGAGGACUCUCAAGCAGCACUUGCACUGUACUUUCUAAGACGUUUUCUGGAGGUUGAUGCAGAAAGCUUACAUUGCCUAUUUAAAAAUAAGCUGAAGCACAAGUUCACAAAAAAUAUAAAAUCAAAAAGCAAACCCAAGAAAACCUCUGCAGUAUGACUGAUAGACAGAUGAGAAAAGUUUUGCAUGAUAUGUAAAAAAGGAAUAAAGAAACUGUUUUCUUCACAACUGUUUUCUUCUUUGCAAAUAAAUACCAAUGAUGGAAGAA